GAUGGCUACUAUACUAUUAUGAGUAUUGGAGCCUUCGUACUCAUUAGUUGUUUUCAAUGAUGGAGCUUCUAAAUUGACGAUCCACUCUGUUAAAUACGAUCUAGAGUAUAUAAAACUUCUAGAAAAUAAAUUUCGUAAAUUUUUAAAAUCAUAAUAAAGUCCAUCAAGUGGGCAUAAAAUGAUGGUCAAAGUCGAAUGACGUUCUAAAAAAUGAUUAUCGGAUCCUUCAAUUCAAUAUUGAUCUUUAUCUAUGUAGUGAAUAGAAUUUUCUAUAAAAAAUUCAACAAAUUCCGAUUCUUUUACACCGUUAAACUAGCAAGUAUCCCAUAUCGACCGUUAAAAGUUAUCAAAUUUGUGACCGAUUGAUCAUAAGGUAAAUGAUGUCGAAAAAUUAUACAAUUUGAUUUCUAGAAGUUUUAAAUGCUGUAAAUAACGUUUAACGGUGUGGAUCGUGGAUUCGGAAGCUCUAUCAUCGAAAACAACUUAUGAGUACGAGGGCAAUCGUACUCAUAAUAGUAUAGUAGUCGGACCCUAUAUGGCCAUGGCUACUAUACUAUNCCUCAAACUUGUUGAAAUUGGCAGCAAAAUUGAGUUUGCCUCAACCUGGUACUGUUUGCUUCAUAUUUGUAUAUUUGUAAGUAUUUUGUUUGAUAUUUUUAUCCAGUUGAUUGUAUUUUGUUAUUCCACUCGUGAUGUUGUGUUUCUCGUUUGAAUAUUUCUUAUCGUGAAAAAAUUUGCCUCAAACUUGUUGAAAUAGGCGCUAGAAUUGAGCUCAACCUGGUACUGAUUGCACUAAAGGCGGUGAAUGGUUCACCGCCUUUAGUGCAAACUCAGAAACCCGAAAAAAAUGGCUAAGUCCUGGACUGGGUUCUUUUACACAGAUAAGACGGUGAACCAUUCACCGUCUUUAUGGCAGUACAGAUAAGACGGUAAACCAUUCACCGUCUUUAUGGACGGUAAACCAUUCACCGUCUUAUCUGUGUUUUAGCCUCACCACGACUUGGCUAAAUUAGGGCAGGUGGCAAUUUACUCUAAAGACGGCGAAUAGUUCACCAUCUAAUUAAGACGGUGAACCACUCACCGUCUUAUCUGUGUUUUAGCUCCACCACAACUUGGCCAAAUUAGGGCAGGUGGUAAUUUACUCUAAAGACGCCGAAUAGUUCACCGCCUAAUUAAGACGGUGAACCACUCACCGUCUUAUCUGUGUUUUAGGCCCCCUCUCGAGGACUUGGCGAAAUUAGGCUGGCUAGGUAGAAUGGCUUAUGACAAGAUAAGACGGUAAACUAUUUACCGCCUUUGUGAAGACGGUAAACGAGUGACCGUCUUCUCUAGGCACCUUGCGCCGCGCGGGGAAUUGCUGAGAAGGCGGUAGGGUGCGUGGGGAAUUGCUGAAAAGGCGGUAUGGUAGCCUUGAGAAGACGGUCAACCAUUUACCGUCUUCAAUGAGACUGCUUAAAGACGGUGAACGAAUCACCGUCUUUAUGAGAAAUGCUGAUUUGGCGGCUGAGGUGGCAAGAGGAGGGUUAGUUUCACAAAUAAAAUUUUCACAGGGUUAGUUUGGCAAAUAUGAAAUUUCAC
rnacentral:lncRNA from 1 species